rnacentral:tRNA from 1 species
GCGAAAGUGGCGGAACUGGCAGACGCGCUGGAUUUAGGAUCCAGUGGGCAACCAUGGGGGUUCGAAUCCCCCCUUUCGCACCA